rnacentral:rRNA from 1 species
AGCGAACGCUGGCGGCAGGCUUAACACAUGCAAGUCGAGCGGGCCCUUCGGGGUCAGCGGCAGACGGGUGAGUAACACGUGGGAACGUACACUUUGGUUCGGAAUAACGAUGGGAAACUAGCGAUAAUACCGGAUACGCCCUUUUGGGGAAAGGCUUGCUGCCGAAGGAUCGGCAAGCGUCUGAUUAGCUAGUUGGUGGGGUAAUGGCCUACCAAGGCGACGAUCAGUAGCUGGUCUGAGAGGAUGAUCAGCCACACUGGGACUGAGACACGGCCCAGACUCCUACGGGAGGCAGCAGUGGGGAAUAUUGGACAAUGGGCGCAAGCCUGAUCCAGCCAUGCCGCGUGAGUGAUGAAGGCCUUAGGGUUGUAAAGCUCUUUUGUCCGGGACGAUAAUGACGGUACCGGAAGAAUAAGCCCCGGCUAACUUCGUG